rnacentral:rRNA from 1 species
GAACGCUGGCGGCGUGCCUAAUACAUGCAAGUCGAACGCACAGCGAAAGGUGCUUGCACCUUUCAAGUGAGUGGCGAACGGGUGAGUAACACGUGGACAACCUGCCUCAAGGCUGGGGAUAACAUUUGGAAACAGAUGCUAAUACCGAAUAAAACUUAGUGUCGCAUGACACAAAGUUAAAAGGCGCUUCGGCGUCACCUAGAGAUGGAUCCGCGGUGCAUUAGUUAGUUGGUGGGGUAAAGGCCUACCAAGACAAUGAUGCAUAGCCGAGUUGAGAGACUGAUCGGCCACAUUGGGACUGAGACACGGCCCAAACUCCUACGGGAGGCUGCAGUAGGGAAUCUUCCACAAUGGGCGAAAGCCUGAUGGAGCAACGCCGCGUGUGUGAUGAAGGCUUUCGGGUCGUAAAGCACUGUUGUAUGGGAAGAACAGCUAGAAUAGGAAAUGAUUUUAGUUUGACGGUACCAUACCAGAAAGGGACGGCUAAAUACGUGCCAGCAGCCGCGGUAAUACGUAUGUCCCGAGCGUUAUCCGGAUUUAUUGGGCGUAAAGCGAGCGCAGACGGUUUAUUAAGUCUGAUGUGAAAGCCCGGAGCUCAACUCCGGAAUGGCAUUGGAAACUGGUUAACUUGAGUGCAGUAGAGGUAAGUGGAACUCCAUGUGUAGCGGUGGAAUGCGUAGAUAUAUGGAAGAACACCAGUGGCGAAGGCGGCUUACUGGACUGCAACUGACGUUGAGGCUCGAAAGUGUGGGUAGCAAACAGGAUUAGAUACCCUGGUAGUCCACACCGUAAACGAUGAACACUAGGUGUUAGGAGGUUUCCGCCUCUUAGUGCCGAAGCUAACGCAUUAAGUGUUCCGCCUGGGGAGUACGACCGCAAGGUUGAAACUCAAAGGAAUUGACGGGGACCCGCACAAGCGGUGGAGCAUGUGGUUUAAUUCGAAGCAACGCGAAGAACCUUACCAGGUCUUGACAUCCUUUGAAGCUUUUAGAGAUAGAAGUGUUCUCUUCGGAGACAAAGUGACAGGUGGUGCAUGGUCGUCGUCAGCUCGUGUCGUGAGAUGUUGGGUUAAGUCCCGCAACGAGCGCAACCCUUAUUGUUAGUUGCCAGCAUUCAGAUGGGCACUCUAGCGAGACUGCCGGUGACAAACCGGAGGAAGGCGGGGACGACGUCAGAUCAUCAUGCCCCUUAUGACCUGGGCUACACACGUGCUACAAUGGCGUAUACAACGAGUUGCCAACCCGCGAGGGUGAGCUAAUCUCUUAAAGUACGUCUCAGUUCGGAUUGUAGUCUGCAACUCGACUACAUGAAGUCGGAAUCGCUAGUAAUCGCGGAUCAGCACGCCGCGGUGAAUACGUUCCCGGGUCUUGUACACACCGCCCGUCACACCAUGGGAGUUUGUAAUGCCCAAAGCCGGUGGCCUAACCUUUUAGGAAGGAGCCGUCUAAGGCAGGACAGAUGACUGG